GGGGAAUAUUGCACAAUGGGGGAAACCCUGAUGCAGCGACGCCGCGUGAGUGAAGAAGUAUUUCGGUAUGUAAAGCUCUAUCAGCAGGGAAGAUAAUGACAGUACCUGACUAAGAAGCCCCGGCUAACUACGUGCCAGCAGCCGCGGUAAUACGUAGGGGGCAAGCGUUAUCCGGAUUUACUGGGUGUAAAGGGAGCGUAGACGGAGUGGCAAGUCUGAAGUGAAAACCCUGGGCUUAACCUGGGGACUGCUUUGGAAACUGUUAAUCUAGAGUGUUGGAGAGGUAAGUGGAAUUCCUGGUGUAGCGGUGAAAUGCGUAGAUAUCAGGAAGAACACCGGAGGCGAAGGCGGCUUACUGGACAAUAACUGACGUUGAGGCUCGAAAGCGUGGGGAUCAAACAGGAUUAGAUACCCUGGUAGUCCACGCUGUAAACGAUGAAUACUAGGUGUCGGGGAGCAAAGCUUCUCGGUGCCGUCGCAAACGCAAUAAGUAUUCCACCUGGGGAGUACGUUCGCAAGAAUG
rnacentral:rRNA from 1 species